rnacentral:misc_RNA from 1 species
GAGAGAGAGAGAGAGAGAGACUGAUCUAGCAAUGAAAUGGUUAACCUUCUAAAAAAUGAUCAAACCGUUGCAUAAAAGGGUUCUACAUGAUAGCUCAUGCAAUAAAAUAUCUAGUCCCCAAAACUUAAAUUUAGGGGGAAAAAAAGGCCUGAAUCUUGCACCAUCUCCAGUUAGACAUGAAAAACAGUAUUCCUGUAAUCAUUUGGAUAUAAGCACAGGAUUAUUUCUGAUGCAGCAUGUUUCCAAAGUCAACUCAUG